CUACGGGUUGCUCCAGUGGGGAAUAUUGGACAAUGGGGGAAACCCUGAUCCAGCAAUGCCGCGUGUGUGAAGAAGGCCUGCGGGUUGUAAAGCACUUUCGGUUGGGAGGACUGCUUCUAGCACUAAUAUUGUUGGAAGUUGACGUUACCUUCAGAAGAAGCACCGGCUAACUCCGUGCCAGCAGCCGCGGUAAUACGGAGGGUGCAGGCGUUAAUCGGAAUUACUGGGCGUAAAGCGCGCGUAGGCGGCUAGAUCGGUCGGUGUGAAAGCCCCGGGCUUAACCUGGGAACUGCAUCCGAUACUGUCGAGCUUGAGUACAGGAGAGGAGAGUGGAAUUCCACAUGUAGUGGUGAAAUGCGUAGAUAUGUGGAGGAACACCAAUGGCGAAGGCAGCUCUCUGGCCUGAUACUGACGCUGAGGUGCGAAAGCGUGGGGAGCAAGCAGGAUUAGAUACCCUCGUAGUC
rnacentral:rRNA from 1 species